AACUGUGUGUGUGUUGCAUCUUUGAUUUUCAUGACGUUAGCACUGGCAAUUCAAACAAGUCAUUAAGCUAACCUCAAAGACGUUCUGAUCCCAUCAUGCUUGAGGGUCCCAGAGCCCAGCGACUCCCGUCCGUCGCAGUGCUUUAAGCUGACGAGAUGUCCGUCGUGGGAAGGAAGUGGAGUAGGAGGUCAAGAUUGGUGCCCCCCUGAAGUUUCUGGUGUGAGGGGACAGUGCUACAGCCAGAAUGUUGCUACGAACUUCACCUGGAUGGACGCGUCUCUCGCCUGCAAGACGCAGGGCGGCACGCUGGCUGGCAUCCCCCUAGGGAGAUUCCCAUAUCAAGUGCCGAACCUAGGUGAGUGCUGCUGAAUGUUAAUUUGCCUGCCCUUAUCCUAAUAUUCCGUUCGAAUGUUGGCAAUCGUUAAAGGUGACAGCCCCAAGAUGAUUCUCUCUGGAAAUUUCUAGUGUACUGUUGCGUGCGCAUAAUUGAGAAGCAAGUUACUGUAAUACUGAUCAUUAGUUGUUGCACAAAGUGGCAGGAAAACGAUAUUGAAAACAGCUCUUGACUGCACGUGAGAACGUGUUGUGAACUGGACCUCCGGAGAAUUUAGGAAACUACGCGUCUGGUACUUGUAGAGGCAGGAAUCGAUUCGAGAAAGUUCAGCUCGCGUUUACGAAGAAGGUAAGAGUGAAGGAACAGAAAAUAAAAUUAUAAAUGGGGAAAAUUUAAUGUUGAAAAAUGUAUUAUUACGUUUGGCCACUGAGGAAUCUUCCACGUUAUCAAGCAUCUCUGCUGGUUACGCUGCCAAGAAAAAUUCCGGGCUGUUCGCAGUGAAAUUUGUCUCGUUUCAUUUUGUGUAUCUCGUGAGUUUUUUUCGGAACACAAUCGUAAGGGGCCACAGCAAACAUUGAUCGCGCU